rnacentral:rRNA from 1 species
AUUGAACGCUGGCGGCAGGCCUAACACAUGCAAGUCGAACGGUAACAGGAAGAAGCUUGCUUCUUUGCUGACGAGUGGCGGACGGGUGAGUAAUGUCUGGGAAACUGCCUGAUGGAGGGGGAUAACUACUGGAAACGGUAGCUAAUACCGCAUAACGUCGCAAGACCAAAGAGGGGGACCUUCGGGCCUCUUGCCAUCGGAUGUGCCCAGAUGGGAUUAGCUAGUAGGUGGGGUAACGGCUCACCUAGGCGACGAUCCCUAGCUGGUCUGAGAGGAUGACCAGCCACACUGGAACUGAGACACGGUCCAGACUCCUACGGGAGGCAGCAGUGGGGAAUAUUGCACAAUGGGCGCAAGCCUGAUGCAGCCAUGCCGCGUGUAUGAAGAAGGCCUCGGUUGUAAGUACGUUCUAGCGGGAGGAGGGAG